rnacentral:lncRNA from 1 species
AUCCCAAACCCCCAGCAGUACACCCACCACAUGUUCCAAAACCACAUCCACCUUAUGUUCCAAAACCACCAAUUGUUAAACCUCCAAUAGUACAUCCACCUUACGUACCAAAACCCCCAGUUGUGAAACCACCACCAUAUGUCCCUAAACCACCUGUUGUGAGACCACCCUAUGUUCCUAAACCACCAGUUGUACCUGUAACACCACCUUAUGUUCCUAAGCCACCAAUUGUUUUCCCACCACAUGUUCCUCUACCUCCAGUUGUACCAUCACCACCACCUUAUGUACCAACACCUCCAAUUGUGAAACCACCAAUUGUUUUUCCACCACAUGUUCCUCUACCUCCAGUUGUGCCUGUAACACCACCUUAUGUGCAACCACCACCUAUUGUAACUCCACCAACACCAACACCUCCAAUUGUGACACCACCAACACCACCUAGUGAAACACCUUGUCCUCCACCACCACUUGUACCUUAUCCACCACCACCAGCACAACAAACAUGUUCCAUUGAUGCUUUGAAGUUGGGUGCAUGUGUUGAUGUGCUUGGUGGACUCAUACAUAUUGGUAUAGGUGGAAGUG